GCUGGGCGCGGUGGUGCAUGCCUGUACUCCCAGCUACUCAGGAGGCUGAGGUGGGAGGAUUUAUUGAGCCCAGGAGUUCUGGGCUGUAGUGCGCUACGCCAUUCGGGUGUCUGCACUAAGUUCGGCAUCAAUAUGGUGACCUCCCAGGAGCCAGGGACCACCAGGUUACCUAAGGAGGGGUGAACUGGCCCAGGAGGGAAACAGAGCAGGUCAAAACUCCUUUGCUGAUUAGUAGUGGUAUCCUAACUGUGAAUAGCCACUGCACUCCAGCCUGCGCAACAUAGCCAGACCCCGUCUCU
rnacentral:SRP_RNA from 1 species